rnacentral:rRNA from 1 species
UUGACCUCAAAUCAGGUAGGACUACCCGCUGAACUUAAGCAUAUCAAUAAGCGGAGGAAAAGAAACUAACAAGGAUUCCCCUAGUAACUGCGAGUGAAGCGGGAAAAGCUCAAAUUUGAAAUCUGGCRGUUCUUGAACUGUCCGAGUUGUAAUCUAGAGAAGUGUUACCUGUGCUGGACCGUGUACAAGUCUCCUGGAAUGGAGCAUCACAGAGGGUGAGAAUCCCGUCUUUGACAUGGACUGCCUGUACGAUAUGGUGCGCUCUCGAAGAGUCGAGUUGUUUGGGAAUGCAGCUCAAAAUGGGUGGUAAAUGCCAUCUAAAGCUAAAUAUUGGCGAGAGACCGAUAGCGAACAAGUACCGUGAGGGAAAGAUGAAAAGAACUUUGGAAAGAGAGUUAAACAGUACGUGAAAUUGCUGAAAGGGAAACGCUUGAAGUCAGUCGCGUCGGCUAGAAAUCAGCCUUUGCUUUUGCUUGGUGUACUUUCUGGUUGAUGGGUCAGCAUCAAUUUUGACCAUCGGAUAAAGUCAUUGGGAAUGUGGCAUCUUAGGAUGUGUUAUAGCCCAUUGUCGCAUACGGUGGUUGGGAUUGAGGAACUCAGCAUGAGCGAGAUGACGCUCGUGCUUAGGAUGCUGGCAUAAUGGCUUUAAUCGACCCGUC